rnacentral:lncRNA from 1 species
GAGACGUUUAAACCAGGUGAUGUCAUCGCAUAUGUAGGAGGUGGAACAACAUGGUUGGUUAAGGCCUAUUGAGCAGGGCUAGAGGCUCUACAGUGAAAUAAGACAGUAAUCACUAACCAGGACAGUAAUGGACGAGGCAUAUUGAUAUUAGAGAGAGGCAUGCGUAACCAAGUGAACAUAUGGGUCCAGUGAGUGGUUGGGCUGACUGGGGACACGGCAAUUCAGACAGUUAGCAGGCCGAUGCUAACAAGCUAACAGUUAUUAGGCCGGGGCUAAACAAGCUAGCAGUUAGCAGACCGGGGCUGGCAAGCUAGCAGUUAGCAGACCGGGUUAGCAAGCAAGCAGUUGGCAGACCGGGGCUAGCAGUUAGCAGACUGGGGCAGGCAAGCUAGCAGUUAGCAGACCGGGGCAAGCAAGCUAGCAGUUAACAGACCGGGGAUAGCAAGUUAGCCUUUGGAGAACGUCGCGUUGGGGGUAAGUCUGUUUUUGCCUCUUUGUGCGGUGACGUCAAUAGACCAGUCAUGGAAUUAGUAGGGUUCCAAGUAGCUCUAGUUAGCUAGUAGGCCGCGGUAAGCAGAAUGGGCCUUCAGUGGAUGUCGCGCCUGAGGGGCCUGUUGGAAUCCUUGGGCAGAUUAUGUCGGUAUUCCAGUCAUAGAGGAUCGGCGGGGUUCCGUGCCCCGUACCGGCAAUAGAAGGGGUCCGGAUAUUGUAGCCCAGGAUGGGCUUCGGUGGUAGCACAGGAGCCCUGGCCGGGCUAGCUUCAGGCUAAUUGGUGCUUGCUCUGGGAUGAAAACGCUAACCAGGAGUAGUCACCCAGGAUUGCGGUUAGCUAGUUGCGAAGAUCCAGAUGAAAAUGUUCAGAGUUUGCGGUUGGAAUCCGGGGAUAUGGGGGGGAAAAAAUGAAAAUAAUAAUAGGUCCGUUAUGCUCUGGUUUGAGUCACGUUGUUCGAACUGGCGAGAGCUUUCUGAGCUAAAGGUUAUCUGAUGACCGCUAGCAAUGGUUUGCUGACUGAUAGCUGGUAGGUAGUUAGCUGGCUAGCUUCAGUUGAGGGAUUCCAGAUCCAAAGUAAAUAGAAAUACUAGAAAAAAAACAGAUCCACGCCACAUUGGGUGAGGCGGGUUGCAGGAGAGUAUUUAGAAGUUGAGGUUUAGGAAAAUAUUUGUUAAAUAUAUGCGAAGAAAAAGAUGUAAUAAGAUAUAUACAAGGGACUUGACAGGACAAAGGUGUCUGACUGCUACGCCAUCUUGGAUUAUCCCUACAGGUUGUGCCAUGGCGGAGAUCUUUGUGGGCUAUUCUCAGCCUUGUCUCAGGAUGGACCUGAGCCCUAGGACCAUGCCUCAGGACUACCUGGCCUGAUGACUCCUUGCUGUCCCCAGUCCACCUGGCUGUACUGCUGCUCCAGUUUCAACUGUUCUGCCAGCGGCUAUUGAACCCUGACCUGUUCACCGGACGUGUGACCUGUCCCAGACCUGCUGUUUUCAACUCUCUAGAGACAGCAGGAGCAGUAGAGAUACUAUGAAUGAUCGGCUAUGAAAAGCCAACUGACAUUUACUCCUGAGGUGCUGACCUGUUGCACCCUCGACAACCACAGUGAUUAUUAUUAUUUGACCCUGCUGGUUAUCUAUGAACAUUUGAACAUCUUGGCCAUGUUUUCUUAUAAUCUCCACCCGGCAUAGCCAGAAGAGGAGUAGCCACCCCUCAUAGCCUGGUUCCUCUGUAUUACAUCAGCCUCUUUCCUGCAGAAUGAUGCAAACUGAGAGGAGAUGGAAGGAAAGAUAGUUGUGUCGUACGAUCAAGUGAAUGUAUUCAUCCUCACCUUCAUCUUUGAUUUAGAGUGAUUGCUGUUGACAUGGGCUGUCACAUUGUUAUGUGAGAUGGGGGGAUUUUUUGAAAGGUUACUUGAUUGAAUUAACACUGGUCAUUAUUCAUGCACAGUGAGUCGCCAAGAAUCCCUGUUGAAAGAGAAACACUAGCCAAAUUGGAGAGAGAUCUCUGUGCUGGAAAUGCUCUGGACUGCAGCUCUUUACUACAUUACGUUGAGCGAUGUUGUGCAGUUUGAGAGGGUGCUCUUUAGCAUUUGGCUAUGGGACUUGUGGUAUGUGUUUUCUUAAUGUGAUGUUAAUGCUUUUGUAGGAAGAUGUAUUGUGCCCACCCACUACACUCGGAAAUAGAUCAAGUUGAAGCAGCACAAAUCUUUAAAGGCCACAGUUUCUGCUCUGUAGUUGGUUGACCAAGUAGUACAAUUGGAUACUGUAUCGAGUCAUACAACUUUACAAAUAAAGUAAUUAGCUACUUACCUUUUCUUAAUUUUCACAAUAUGGCUAUUUAAUUACAAAUGUAUCUUGCUUUAAAAAGUGUAUGAACUAAUAUUAACUUACUAUUGUCAAUGAGGACAGAUUCAUUAGUUCUAUGAGACAAGAUGCAGGGUUAGGUGAAAACAGUUUGUGUGCUGAAAAUUGUAGAUCAGACAACCUUCAUAUGAGAAAAUCAUAAGUUUUUGUCCAAUAAUUAACAAUUUGCAUAGUUAACGCUGCACUCUACCAACCUUAUUUGACACUAUACUCAUGUGUGAUGGCACCAUGAACAACCAGGAUGCACUUGGCCUUUGAGGCCUUCCUAUUUUUUGUUGUUUUCAAAGCUGGACUUAGUAGAGAGAUGCAUGGCUGGUGGAGUGCAAUGCUAUGCGAGUAACAAAGAAAGGGUGGU